rnacentral:rRNA from 1 species
GACGAACGCUGGCGGCGUGCUUAAUACAUGCAAGUCGAACGGAAGGCCCUGCUUUUGUGGGGUGCUCGAGUGGCGAACGGGUGAGUAACACGGGAGUAACCUGCCCUUGACUUUGGGAUAACUUCAGGAAACUGGGGCUAAUACCGGAUAGGAGCUCCUGCUGCCUGGUGGGGGUUGGAAAGUUUCGGCGGUUGGGGAUGGACUCGCGGGUUAUCCGCUUGUUGGUGGGGUAGUGGCUUACCAAGGCUUUGACGGGUAGCCGGCCUGAGAGGGGGACCGGCCACAUUGGGACUGAGAUACGGCCCAGACUCCUACGGGAGGCAGCAGUGGGGAAUAUUGCACAAUGGGCGGAAGCCUGAUGCAGCAACGCCGCGUGCGGGAUGACGGCCUUCGGGUUGUAAACCGCUUUCGCCUGUGACGAAGCGUGAGUGACGGUAAUGGGUAAAGAAGCACCGGCUAACUACGUG